rnacentral:rRNA from 1 species
CAGUCGCCGCGGGAAUACGAAGGGUGCAAGCGUUAAUCGGAAUUACUGGGCGUAAAGCGUGCGUAGGCGGUUUGUUAAGUCUGCUGUGAAAUCCCCGGGCUCAACCUGGGAAUGGCAGUGGAUACUGGCAAGCUAGAGUGUGUCAGAGGAUGGUGGAAUUCCCGGUGUAGCGGUGAAAUGCGUAGAGAUCGGGAGGAACAUCAGUGGCGAAGGCGGCCAUCUGGGACAACACUGACGCUGAGGCACGAAAGCGUGGGGAGCAAACAGGAUUAGAUACCCGAGUAGUCCCUGUCUCUUAUAC